ACCGUCAAAUCCGUAACGGACCCCAAUUGGGGUCUGAACAUCAAUGUCACUCACCGUAAGCUCGGUUUAGACCCCAAUCGGGGUCUUGCGAAUCAGUCAUACACUUUCCUAAUUAUUUACGCUCAUAUUUAUUUUCUUUCCAAUCAAACCGCAUUUGUGAGUACUAAAUAAAAUAACUAAAUAAAUUUAAAUUAUUUUUACGCAUUCAAAUCUUUCAUAUUUAGCAUCCCGUUAGAAAAUAUACCUUUUUAAAAUCCAAUCGUAAUUACCGGGAAUUCCGAUCGAACUCGCCAUGUUUGUUUACAUUAGUUGUUUUUUUUAAAUUUGAAGACGCAUAGACAAGAUGGCGAUGGUGAUAGAAGUUUUGCAUCGAAUGAUCCGAUUCGUUAAAAUAAAGAAUCGAUUUAAUAAUUUUAUAUUAUUUGAUAUUAUAAUAUUACUAAAUUGCACUUUUGUAUACUUACCAUAAUCUGAAAAUAAAUUAGGAAAAGUAAAAUUACUUAAUUUAUUUUGAAAAAAAAAAAAACUAGAAAAUCAGUGGUAGAAAAUACGUUGCAGCCGGAAUAAAAAAAAUCUUCGGUUUUUAGGGUUUCUGAAGACGGUAAAUGAAGACUUAUUUAUUUCUUCGGGUGUUUUAUGUGCAGAAUUCCUGUAGACCUGCCAAACUUAAUGGCGAUUCGUUACUUCCAACUUUUUAACUGAGCGGCAAAGCUAUUUGACGAGAGCUGUAGUUAGGUGUGGUUAUCGCAAAAUUUUAUGACGAUUUUAUUGUUUGAAAGGGCAAAUAGGUAGUCGGAAGUGCUACUCGCUGUUCAUCGAAAGCUGGUCCAAAAUGGAAAGAUGGCCGCCGCCGACUUAUUUUUAACCGACUUCCUAAAAAGCGGAGGUUCUCAAUUAGACCGUUUUUUUUGUAUGUUUGUUACGCGAUUACUCAGCCAUUUAUUUAUCGAUUUUUAAGAUUCUUUUUUUGUUUGAUAGCGUAUACUUCCGAGGUGGUCCCAUUAUCAUCAGAUCCUGGACCUAAUAACAAAUAUGGGGAAUAUACCCUUUCGACCAAAAACAAACAUCCAAAUUGAGAUUCUCCUCCUUUUUUGGGAUUCGGUUAAAAAUAUUUGGUGACUUUAAAAUCAAUCAAUUAUUAUUAUUGUUUCUCAUCAUCAAAUAAGUACAUGACUUUGGUAGUUACAAAUUGCAUUAUAUUUCAGAACGCCAGGCUUACCCUCCGCCGAAACAAAAAUCUUAGAAUUGUUGAGAAAUAAUAUAAGAAUAAAUUAAAAUUCCGUAAUAGGUAAUAAAAAUUCAAUUAAAGUUAAAAAUUAUUACGAAUGACGCAACACCAAAAUAAAUAAUACAUAUAAAAAUGUAAUGCUAAAAACUUUCAUAAAACUUAAAUAUCUUUUUUCUUAACAAUAAAAAUAAACUGAACCUAUAAUUUAACAUUAAUAAAUUAAAUUGAAAAAAGUUGCUAUUAAAAAAAAUAUAUAAAAUUGGUAUUCGAUUAUUUAUAAUAAAUAUCCGGUUUAGGUAUCGAAUGCACACCGAUGAUUGAAAAUAAAUAAAUAAAACACUAUUCCAAACUCUACUUGUCUGUGACUUUGAUCUUGUAAAUAUUGUUCAUUUUUAUUGUGUAUUUUAUGUGCUGAUUUUUUAGUUAUUGAACAUCAAUAAGUGCACGAAAUGUAUUGCAAUGGAUUGAAAAUGUUAUAAAUAUGACGUUUGUGUUGUGUUUGAGAAAGUGAUGCGAUUAUUUAUUGGUAAGUUUUCACCAAAUUUGAAAUGCCUAACUUUUCGAUAGACUUAAAAACACCGUAAUUAUUAUCUUUUUCUGAAUUAACUGACCCCAUUUGACCUUUGCACGUUGUUGUCAAAUAAGUGAGCUCUAAAGUUAUAGUUAAAAUACUUCUGAUCAGGCAUUACGGACUUAGAAUUCAUGUGUGGAAAGUUAGUACAAAUUUUUGACUUCCAUGUCGCGAUUCAAAAUAUCCCGCCGAAUCAACGGUAAAGUCAUA